rnacentral:lncRNA from 1 species
CAAAAAAAUGUAGUCGGAGAUAAUACAUGUAGAAGGAGAUAACGAAGAGAUUCUAAGUUAGGAUAGGCAAGAUGCACUCAUCAGGAUCAUGAUAAGCAAGGGAGGACUUAGGCUAAAUUGGGACCACCAUCAACAUUGGAGUUGGUGGGGGAGCAAUUGGACUGAGGAUAAGGGGAUGGGGAGGAGAGAGACUAGGAGGGAAUGGAUAGGACACAAGAUUUGGAGGGGGC